GCCGGGCAUGAUGGUGCAUGCCUGUAAUCCCAGUAUCCUGGGAGGCUGAGGCAGGAGGACUGCAAGUUCAAAGUUAACCUUGGCAACUUAGCAAGGCCCUAAGCAACUUAGCAAGAGCCAUUCUCAA
rnacentral:sRNA from 1 species